rnacentral:rRNA from 1 species
GAUGAACGCUGGCGGCGUGCCUAAUACAUGCAAGUCGAGCGAACGGACGAGAAGCUUUCUCCUCUGAUGUUAGCGGCGGACGGGUGAGUAACACGUGGAUAACCUACUUAUUAGACUGGGGUAACUUCGGGAAACCGGAGCUAAUACCGGAUGAUAUUUUGUACCGCAUGGUUCAAAAGUGCAAGACGCUUUUGCCGUCACUUAUAGAUGGAUCCGCGCUGCAUUAGCUAGUUGGUAAGGUAACGGCUUACCAAGGCAACGAUGCAUAGCCGACCUGAGAGGGUGAUCGGCCACACUGGAACUGAGACACGGUCCAGACUCCUACGGGAGGCAGCAGUAGGGAAUCUUCCGCAAUGGGCGAAAGCCUGACGGAGCAACGCCGCGUGAGUGAUGAAGGUCUUCGGAUCGUAAAACUCUGUUAUUGGGAAAGAACAUAUGUGUAAGUAACUGUGCACAUCUUGACGGUACCUAAUCAGAAAGCCACGGCUAACUACGUG